rnacentral:rRNA from 1 species
UGCCAGCAGCCGCGGUAAUACGGGGGGUGCAAGCGUUAAUCGGAAUUACUGGGCGUAAAGCGCGCGUAGGCGGUUUGUUAAGUCGGCUGUGAAAGCCCCGGGCUCAACCUGAACUGCAUUCGAUACUGGCAGACUAGAGUAUAGUAGAGGCAAGUGGAAUUCCGGGUGUAGCGGUGAAAUGCGUAGAUAUCCGGAGGAACAUCAGUGGCGAAGGCGACUUGCUGGACUAAUACUGACGCUGAGGAGCGAAAGCGUGGGGAGCAAACAGGAUUAGAUA